AACUAAGGGUGCUACCAGGAAAAACAACAAAUAUCCCCUCUCCAAAGAGGCUCUGAAUUCCAAGAGCGCUGAAGAUAUUAUUCGGGAUAAUGAAAGAUUUAUGAAUGAAAUAGAGGAAAUCUUGAAAACGGGACAGGUGAAGAACAGUCUGGACUACUUCUAUUACGUGAAGACGAAUAUGGAUGCUCUACGGAACAAAGUAACGGGCUUGGCUACUUUCAUGGAAGGACUGUCAGUGGACGAUGAAGAGUGGGAAGACGUCCUGAAGGAUCGCAGUUCAUCGGCUUGAAAGGAUUUUUUCCAUGUACUACUUUCCAUCAUUCCUACUGAGGCGACCAUUGUGUGCCAAUCCACAUGCCCGCGUGCAAUGCGUCCUCUGCCAUACUUUCUACCAAGGCGACCAUUCCGUGCCAAUGUACAUGCUCGCGUGGAAAAUAUGUUUCCUCUUUGUGAUUGCAUAGCCCAUAAUUAGGUUAACCAUGGAUAUAGCUCACCCACGCUAGCUUCUUUUUUCUCUUGGCUACUUGGGAUCACACGUCUACCGACUUAUGCUUCCGAGUUGGAACUUGGAACCCCUAUUAUCUUCUGAUUCUGGUGUUAUAAUUGGAAUAGCGAUUGAGUAACGGGCAUGGUCCACGUGCUAAUGAGAGGACGAGGGGAACACAUGGU